rnacentral:rRNA from 1 species
AAUCAACGCUGGCGGCGUGCCUCAGACAUGCAAGUCGAACGAUUAAAGCUCUCUUCGGAGAGUGCAUAAAGUGGCGCACGGGUGAGUAACACGUAAGUAAUCUACCUUCGAGUGGGGAAGUAACGUCCGGAACGGACGCUAAUACCGCAUAACGCAGCGGCAUCGCAAGAUGACAGUUGUUAAAGAUUUAUCGCUUGAAGAGGAGCUUGCGGCAGANCAGCUUGUUGGUAAGGUAACGGCUUACCAAGGCUACGAUCUGUAACCGGUCUAAGAGGACGGUCGGUCACACUGACACUGAAUAACGGGUC